GCUGUGAGGAGCCAUGGGGAUGGGCUGUGGGGAGCUGUGGUCCCUGCCCGUGGGGAGCCGUGACCAAGGGCUGUGAGGCGGCCACAGCCUGUCAGGAGUGACUGCGCACUGGAACAGGCUGCCUGGAGAGGGUGUGGGGUGUCCUUGUGGAGAAGCACUUGGGGGUGAUGGAAAACUCUUAUGUGAGCUGGCAGUGAGCAACUGGACCCUGGGAUACAACAAGUGGAUGUGGCACUUUGCAACACGGUUGAGUUUAUAAGGUGGUGAUCAGUCAAAGGUUGGACUCGAUGAUCUUUGAGGUCUUUUCCAGCUGUAAUGACUCCAUGAUCCUGUGAUUACCAGAGGUGGCCACACUUGUACCAGGGUGCAAGGUGGAGUUUUCCACAAAUCAAGCACCCCAAGGGGUAAUAAUAAAUAAUGGCCAGUCUUCGCGAGCGAAGAUCCGGGGAAGGUCUUUCCACCUUCCAGCCUGCGCAUUGGAUUUUUUAGGUGAGACACAGUGUGCGCGGAACUGAGCCCACCCUUUAAUCCUAAGGUUCAUCUGCCGGGGCCAAGCGAGCUUGGACGGUGGCAGCGAGGUCCUUAGGACGUAGGUGGGUUGCCUUUAAGGGCUAACGAGCCCCACCUGCCCGGGAGUGGCCCUGACCGGGAAUCGAACCCGGGUCUCCACGGUGACAGCGCGGCGCCUUUACCGGUAGACCACCAGGGGCUCCUACCCCAAGGGACAGAGAACACCAUGGAGUGAAUUCACUUCCGUUUGGAUUUGCAAGUUAAUUGUGAUGCAACAAAGACGUUUCCACAUGCAAGUUUUUAUUUUCUCAAUUGUUAAAUUAAACCCUAAUUAACGUUCCUGGGAGGAAUCCCUUCUGCACCUCUCUCUCUGGUGACGUGUAAAACCCCAGGGGGGUUACGGACCCGCAGCCAAGUCACCACCACUUGUUACUUGGUGGCAGAAGUAAGUGGGACAUCUCGCAGGAACAGAUUGAAAUCUUUUAAUGCUGCUUUGGCACGAGCCAGGAGGCUCAGCGAGGGCAAAUCUUUUAUUAAUAGAACCUCUCCAAGCGCUCCUUUUCACCCACGGAGUUAAAAAGAUCCCCGUUUAAAAACCAUCGAGGUGGUUACAAUUCAGGCAAAGGCAGUAAAAGUGAUCUCAGAUCACAUGUUAAGGGUGUGAUUCAUCAAGAUCUGCCCAAAUUAAGGCAGGAGUGGCAAGUGCAGCUGCCAGCACAGUCACCAGAUCUCAGCUCUGUCAGGCCCACGUUACUCCCUAAAACAUCUGUGCUUGGGAGGAUUGUUUUUAGGCAGAUCCUUGACAGAGAGAAAGGGAAAAUGUCGGUUUCUGCUUGGUUUGGGUCAUCUGUGGGACAGCUUUUGCCUUGUUACUGCAUGGAGCUCUCGUGCUUUAAUGUAAGAUUAUUAACCCAGAUAUGUGUGUAGUUUGGUGCUUCAAGGGUGAAUCCGAAUUGACAGAGUUUAGAUGACACAGAAGUUUUUAAAACCAAACUGCACCGGUAUUUCUGAAGGUGUCUUCAAGCAAUCUCUUGCAUGAGAAACGUGGGGAAUGUGCCAUAUCUUGUUCCAACAUUGUAUUCACAAGGCUUUUCUAUUUUUUUUCAGUUGCUUUGACUAAAAUUGCAAGCUAUUACUGGAAAAAAAUGACAUUUUUAUUAAGUCAUGUGUAAAAGUUCAGAGCAUAUCUAAAGCUUGCUGAGGAGCAUAAGAAUUUCCAAAAAAAGGUGACCUGAUUUUGAAAUAAAACAUGGUGUCAGUGCAAAUCCAGAAGUUGGACUGUGUGAAGUACCUGCUCCUACUCCCAAAGCUGCCAGGACUGUGCCCUUCACGUGGCAAUUACACACUGAUUUUUUGGACUCAGUUCUUGUAUCUGACUUGCUCCAAAAAUAGAUCCUUUCUGCAGAAAUCAGCAAGUUGUAUCCAACCCUUUGUAGGGGUAAAUUUGAUCUGUGGGCCAUUUUUAUUUUCAGCCACUUUUGUCUGUUCCUCUUUUUGGCAAAGGCCUCCCUUGUUCUUGGC